rnacentral:misc_RNA from 1 species
GAUGAAGAACGCAGUGAAAUGCGAUAAGUAAUGUGAAUUGCAGAAUUCAGUGAAUCAUCGAAUCUUUGAACGCACAUUGCGCCCCCUGGUAUUCCGGGGGGCAUGCCUGUCCGAGCGUCAUUACAACCCUCAAGCCCAGCUUGGUGUUGGGCCCCGCCGCCCCGGCGGGCCCUAAAGUCAGUGGCGGUGCCGUCCGGCUCCGAGCGUAGUAAUUCUUCUCGCUCUGGAGGUCCGGUCGUGUGCUCGCCAGCAACCCCCAAUUUUUUUCAGGUUGACCUCGGAUCAGGUAGGGAUACCCGCUGAACUUAAGCAUAUCAAUAAGCGGAGGA